AGUAUCGAUGAUCUGGAUGUAUCAACUACAUAUCGGUGCUUUUGAUAUACCGACUAACCAUCGAUCAUUGACUCUGAUAUACCGACUAACUAUCGGUUAUGUAGUCAAUCGAGUCAUUAUGAUUGUUUUGUAGCUGCCAAAGAAGUUGAUUGGGGGUCAUCGAUAGUUAGCCAAUAUACCGAUUGAUAGUUAGCAGUCCGUGUCCAUGGCACCGAUGAAAUGUCGGG
rnacentral:lncRNA from 1 species